rnacentral:rRNA from 1 species
GAGUUUGAUCUUGGCUCAGAUUGAACGCUGGCGGCAUGCCUUACACAUGCAAGUCGAACGGCAGCACGGGAGCAAUCCUGGUGGCGAGUGGCGAACGGGUGAGUAAUACAUCGGAACGUGCCCAAUCGUGGGGGAUAACGCAGCGAAAGCUGUGCUAAUACCGCAUACGAUCUACGGAUGAAAGCAGGGGACCGCAAGGCCUUGCGCGAAUGGAGCGGCCGAUGGCAGAUUAGGUAGUUGGUGGGGUAAAGGCUCACCAAGCCAACGAUCUGUAGCUGGUCUGAGAGGACGACCAGCCACACUGGGACUGAGACACGGCCCAGACUCCUACGGGAGGCAGCAGUGGGGAAUUUUGGACAAUGGGCGCAAGCCUGAUCCAGCCAUGCCGCGUGCAGGAUGAAGGCCUUUGGGUUGUAAACUGCUUUUGUACGGAACGAAAAGUCUCUUUCUAAUAAAGAGGGAUCAUGACGGUACCGUAAGAAUAAGCACCGGCUAACUACGUGCC